UAGGGAAUAUUGGUAAUGGGCGCAAGCCUGAACCAGCAACGCCGCGUGUGCGAUGACGGCCUUCGGGUUGUAAAGCACUUUUGAUCGGGACGAGGAAGGACGGUACCGGUCGAAUCAGCCUCGGCUAACUACGUGCCAGCAGCCGCGGUAAAACGUAGGAGGCGAGCGUUAUCCGGAUUUACUGGGUGUAAAGCGCGUGCAGGCGGCUCGAUAAGUUGGAUGUGAAAGCUCCUGGCUCAACUGGGAGAGGUCGUACAAGACUGUCGGGCUUGAGGAUGGUAGGGGAAGGUGGAAUUCCGGGUGUAGUGGUGAAAUGCGUAGAUAUCCGGAGGAACACCAGUGGCGAAGGCGGCCUUCUGGACCAUAACUGACGCUCAGACGCGAAAGCUAGGGUAGCAAACGGGAUUAGAGACCCCGGUAGUCCUAGCCGUAAACGAUGUGAACUUGGCGCCUGGCGGGUAAAACCGGUGGGUGCCGAAGCCAACGCGAUAAGUUCACCACCUGGGGACUACGGCCGCAAAGG
rnacentral:rRNA from 1 species